rnacentral:misc_RNA from 1 species
GCCUGGUCACCCGUGAUCAUCACCUAACACAAAAACUUUUCUUGAGAAGGCUAUUAUCAAGUUAUAAAUGAUUUUGCAGGAAAUUACAUAGACAAGGAAAGGAAAAGUAAUUGUAAGAUGGAGUACAAGGUAUCUCAACAAAACAAAUGCACAAAAAUAUAAUUAGAAAAGCAAAACAAACGCACAAAAAGAAAAUUAUAAAAGCAGAGCUCUCCAAAGAACACUUUGAGAUACUCCAUUAAAAUGCCCCCAAAAAAGCUCAGAAAGAAAGCCAACAAAAGCACCUUAUCCCACAAAAGAUUAGAAGACAAGAUCUGAACCUUGAAAAUAAGAGCAUUCGUUGCCAUCCAAAUCUUCACCACAAAGAAUGAAUACAUCACAAGAAAAAAAGAAAUGCAGAGCUAAACUUUUUAAUCAAACCAUCUGUUAAUUAUAUAUCAAUUUUUUAAUAAUUUAGUAUUAUAACCUAUUCAUAUAAGAAUAUAAUUUAGAAUUCCUUUCCAUCCAGAUCUUCACAUCACCACCAAGAAUGAAGACAUCACGAGAGAGAGAGAGAGAGAGA